GGGGAAUUCAUGCAAAAUCAUCAUUGAUACACAUAGAAGAGAAGGAUGUGAGGGUCAGGAGUUGCGUGGGGGAGGGGUUGAACGUCUGUAAUUGCUCUUUAAAUCGUGCCAUAUAAUCCAUUCCUGUGGUUCACAUGGUGACAGAAAGUGGCACGCAAACCCUGAGUGUGGUCCUGCCCUGAGCAGUGGGGUCGGCCAGGCGCCUGAUGAGGUUCUUAGCAGCAGACGCUCACAUCAAUGUGUCCCAUUCUGGGGAGUGUUAAUAACAGUUAUUUUUCAGCAGAUCCUUUCAAGUCCCAAAGGGAGGGAUGUUCAGCAGGUAUCCGGGGACCACUACGUGUUGGAUGUGGUGCUGUGUUCCAGAUGCAUCACGGAACAAAACGUGGCUCCUGUCCCCGGGCGCUGAUGGCUUCUGGACGAGAGCUUCGGUCAACUGAGCACCAGGAGGCAGGACCACUGAUAUCCCUUUGUCUCAGUGCUUAUCCCACUGAGAGACACAUGCUGUGAACUUAGUGAAUAUUCGCUCAACAGACAAAUAAGUCAGAGAGGAAAUUUAAGGAAGAGGGUGACAGAUUUCUACCCUAGAAGCAUCUCUUUGCUGCUGAGUGGGACGUGUGUUCAAGAAGUCGAAGGGACAGACAGGAGAAGUUCAAAGCCUGAUAUUCCAGGACUGAGACAAUGAGAAGAGUAACUGUGACAGGGAUGGAGAAAUAAGCUGCCGCCCGCCGAGUGGAAGCCCAGCUCUGGGUCACAGCACAUGGUCUUCACUCCAGAAAGCCACCGAAGGACGUUGGGUCCGUCUGCAGCAUAGCAUGCUGCAAUUUUAAGGUUCGAAGAGUCAUCCACUGUAAGCACUAUGGGAUUGCAGAGGACACGCACUUUCAUUUUACACCUGUAGUUUCUCUAAGGAGACCAGACAUUCCUGCAUCUCUCAUGAUAUGCAAACAUCACUGGAGGGCAUUGCCAAAAAUCGAGAAAAAAAGCUCUGAAUUUUGGGAGAACCAACUCCCAGUAUUUGUGCUUCACUGCGUGUGUAGAAACAGUGGCGGCUUCGGUCUUGGCCAAACAAAGGUGGCAGGUGCUCGCUACUCCCGUCGAGCGUGGCUCAGAAGCACACGGAGGUCUGAGCUCAAAGCUGUCAUGGCAGAGUCGUCACGAACUUGCUGAGACCGAGGGGAAGGGAGCCCCACCUCAGGGUGGGCGGCCCGGGUCAGUGCCCCCCACCCCAGAUGAGCACGGGAUGAUCACAGGAAGGAGGGAGCAUUUCUAAGAUCUAGUCCUGUGCUCAUCACCUCAUGUCUUGUUCACUCGUUACUGAUGUUGGGGUUUGGGUGGGAGGAGCUUCAGAUUCCUCCCAACAUUCAGAUUGUAGAUGUCUUUUCUCUUUGUAACAGAUUCUCGUCUAACUGACAUUUCCCAUUGACUUUGAAAGGCUUCCGUGUGUAGUGAUUCCUGUUAGAAUUAAUAUCGGGCAUUUGGUCACUCAGAGCUUCAUUCCACAGCAUUU
rnacentral:lncRNA from 1 species